rnacentral:rRNA from 1 species
GGCCAACUGAUUGAUGGUGCUUGCACCUGUAGUGACGAUGGAUCACCAGUGAGGGCGGACGGUGAGUAACACGUAGGUACCUGCCCCGGAGCGGGGGAAUACAUUUGGAAAACAGAUGCUAAUACCGCAUAACACAAAAGCCACAUGGCUUUUUGUUUGAAAAGAUGGCUUUUGGCUAUCACUCUGGGAUGGACCUGCGGUGCAUUAGCUAGUUGGUAAGGUAACGGCUUACCAAGGCGAUGAUGCAUAGCCGAGUUGAGAGACUGAUCGGCCACAAUGGAACUGAGACACGGUCCAUACUCCUACGGGAGGCAGCAGUAGGGAAUCUUCCACAAUGGGGCGCAAGCCUGAUGGAGCAACACCGCGUGAGUGAAGAAGGGUUUCGGCUCGUAAAGCUCUGUUGUUGGAGAAGAACGUGCGUGAGAGUAACUGUUCACGCAGUGACGGUAUCCAACCAGAAAGUCACGGCUAACUACGUGCC